GAUGAACGCUAGCGGCGGGCUUAAUACAUGCAAGUCGAACGGUAACAGGGUAGCAAUAUCGCUGACGAGUGGCAGACGGGUGAGGAACACGUACACAACUUUCCUCUUACUGGGGCACAACUCCGAGAAAUCGGGGCUAAUUCCCCAUAAUAUCCGGGUGUGGCAUCACAUUCGGAUUAAAACUCCGGUGGUAAGAGAUGGGUGUGCGUCUGAUUAGCUAGUUGGUAGGGUAACGGCCUACCAAGGCAACGAUCAGUAGCUGGUGUGAGA
rnacentral:rRNA from 1 species